rnacentral:lncRNA from 1 species
UUUCCUUCCCGCUUCUUCCUUGAGAAGAGAAGGUAGGGGCUCUGUUUCCGCAUCCGUUCCAUAUCAGUAUUCAUUGUUAAGAUCUCCCGGUAGAAUCGAAUGGUAACUGAAUCAUUCCAAUAGUUCCGAACAAGUCCUGCAUGGGCUCUUUGUCGAAUGAGUUUGCAUUCCUCAAUCCAAUCUUUAAACUUCCGACAUCUAGAAUAACUCGCUGGAGCACCCCUCCAUUCACCUUUCGUUCCCAUAUGCAUCGGCUUUUUCUAAAUCGACAUAUCUAGGUUCUCCCAACCCAACAGGUUCCCUUUCUUUCGAAAUGGCAUUGCCAAAAGUCGAAUCAAAGGCUUGACAGGAGAUUCCCGGUAGAAUCAAAUGGUAACUGAAUAAUUCCAAUAGUUCCGAACAAGUCCUGCAUGGGCUCUUUGUCAAAUGAGUUUGCAUUCCUCAAUCCAAUCUUUAAACUUCCGACAUCUAGAAUAACUCGCUGGAGCACCCCUCCAUUCACCUUUCGUUCCCAUAUGCAUCGGCUUUUUCUAAAUCGACAUAUCUAGGUUCUCCCAACCCAACAGGUUCCCUUUCUUUCGAAAUGGCAUUGCCAAAAGUCGAAUCAAAGGCUUGACAGG